rnacentral:rRNA from 1 species
CAGCCGCCGCGGUAAUACGAAGGGGGCUAGCGUUACUCGGAAUUACUGGGCGUAAAGGGCGCGUAGGCGGCACGAUUAGUCAGGCGUGAAAUUCCUGGGCUCAACCUGGGGACUGCGCUUGAUACGGUCGAGCUAGAGGAUGGAAGAGGGUCGUGGAAUUCCCAGUGUAGAGGUGAAAUUCGUAGAUAUUGGGAAGAACACCGGUGGCGAAGGCGGCGACCUGGUCCAUUACUGACGCUGAGGCGCGACAGCGUGGGGAGCAAACAGGAUUAGAUACCCCCGUAGUCCCUGUCUCUUAUAC